UGGCGAACGGGUGAGUAACACGUGGGUGAUCUGCCCUGCACUUUGGGAUAAGCCUGGGAAACUGGGUCUAAUACCAGAUAGGACCAUGCUUUGGAUGGUGUGGUGGAAAGUUUUUUCGGUGUGGGAUGAGCUUGCGGCCUAUCAGCUUGUUGGUGGGGUAAUGGCCUACCAAGGCGUCGACGGGUAGCCGGCCUGAGAGGGUGGACGGCCACAUUGGGACUGAGAUACGGCCCAG
rnacentral:rRNA from 1 species